rnacentral:rRNA from 1 species
CACGUAGUUAGCCGUCCCUUUCUGGUUAAGUACCGUCACAGUAUGAACUUUCCAUUCUCACUCUCGUUCUUCCUUAACAACAGAGCUUUACGAUCCGAAAACCUUCUUCACUCACGCGGCGUUGCUCGGUCAGGGUUCCCCCCAUUGCCGAAGAUUCCCUACUGCUGCCUCCCGUAGGAGUCUGGGCCGUGUCUCAGUCCCAGUGUGGCCGAUCACCCUCUCAGGUCGGCUAUGUAUCGUCGCCUAGGUAGGCCAUUACCCUACCUACUAGCUAAUACAACGCAGGUCCAUCUACUAGCGAUGCAAUUGCAUCUUUCAAGCAUCUAACAUGUGUUACAUACUGUUAUGCGGUAUUAGCUAUCGUUUCCAAUAGUUACUCCCCUCUAAUAGGCAGGUUACCUACGCGUUACUCACCCGUUCGCAACUCACAGUCUAUGGUGUAGCAAGCUACGGUAUAAACUGUGCGUCCUACUUGCAUGUAUUAGGCACGCCGCCAGCGUUCGUCCG